AAUCAGAACGUGCUGUGAGCU
rnacentral:miRNA from 1 species